rnacentral:lncRNA from 1 species
AAGCAUCAAUAUGCACUUGAUCAACAUCGUGUCAAUUUCUAUAGUAAGCCUUGUGGAUAGCACAACAAGCUCACUAAGAUCUUGACAUAUUCUAUCGACCAAGUUUAAAGGAAAGCUCUUGUAAUAUCUACAUCAUUUAAUCAAUCUAAGUCUGAAAUUCAACAAGACCAAAUUGACCAGGUAAGUAGGUGGGAGGCUCUCUGUAGCUUUUCUAGACACCAACAGAGUUGGCCAGGCC